CAGUCGCCGCGGUAAUACGUAGGUGGCAAGCGUUGUCCGGAAUUAUUGGGCGUAAAGGGCUCGCAGGCGGUUUCUCAAGUCUGAUGUGAAAGCCCCCGGCUCAACCGGGGAGGGUCAUUGGAAACUGGGAAACUUGAGUGCAGAAGAGGAGAGUGGAAUUCCACGUGUAGCGGUGAAAUGCGUAGAGAUGUGGAGGAACACCAGUGGCGAAGGCGACUCUCUGGUCUGUAACUGACGCUGAGGAGCGAAAGCGUGGGGAGCGAACAGGAUUAGAGACCCCAGUAGUCCCUGUCUCUUAUAC
rnacentral:rRNA from 1 species